rnacentral:rRNA from 1 species
UACGUAGGGUGCAAGCGUUGUCCGGAAUUAUUGGGCGUAAAGAGCUCGUAGGCGGUUUGUCGCGUCUGCUGUGAAAACUCGGGGCUUAACCCCGGGCCUGCGGUGGGUACGGGGCAGACUAGAGUGAUGUAGGGGAGACUGGAAUUCCUGGUGUAGCGGUGAAAUGCGCAGAUAUCAGGAGGAACACCGAUGGCGAAGGCAGGUCUCUGGGCAUUAACUGACGCUGAGGAGCGAAAGCAUGGGGAGCGAACAGG